rnacentral:tRNA from 1 species
GAGAGUGUAGCUCAGUGGUAGAGUGCAUGCCUAGCAUGCGUGAGGUCCUGGGUUCAAUCCCCAGUGCCUCCA